rnacentral:sRNA from 1 species
GAUUAUAAAAUGAGGAUAAAGUCACAUACCUGGAAAGUUUGUGAGGAUGAAGUUAGAUACUGCACACAAGUGCUAGCAGGGUCUGGCACCCAGUGAACAUUAGAAUCUGAUGUCUCCCUUUCAUUCCUGUCCUAUGCCUCCCUGCUUCGAGUUACCAUUGUCUUUGCUCCUGGUUUCCCGUACCAGCAGCUGGAUGUCAUGCCGGUGAGUUUCACCAUUCUUUCAUUCUCUCCCCUCCCUCUUCUCCAAACCACAGUGCAUUUGCUGAGAGCACCUGGACGCCAGUGAAUCAAGGUCAAAACUAUCCCCCUGAGACACUCACAGGGGUCUUUCCGAAAAAAAAAAAAGGUUUUGGUGUCUUACUAGUCUCAUUCUAAAAAGGAUGAUUAUCCUGGGAGAUGGAGGAACCCUGUCCUCUUUCUCCAAGUUGCAUCAUCAUUUUCUGGUUCUCCCUGGGCCAUGCCCUCUUCAGCUGCCAGUUUUGAGACGCUGCAGUGUGAGGGACCUGUCUGCACCGAGGAGAGCAGCUGCCACACGGAGGAUGACUUGACUGAUGCAAGGGAAGCUGGCUUCCAGGUCAAGGCCUACACUUUCAGUGAACCCUUCCACCUGAUUGUGUCCUAUGACUGGCUGAUCCUCCAAGGUCCAGCCAAGCCAGUUUUUGAAGGGGACCUGCUGGUUCUGCGCUGCCAGGCCUGGCAAGACUGGCCACUGACUCAGGUGACCUUCUACCGAGAUGGCUCAGCUCUGGGUCCCCCCGGGCCUAACAGGGAAUUCUCCAUCGCUGUGGUACAAAAGGCAGACAGCGGGCACUACCACUGCAGUGGCAUCUUCCAGAGCCCUGGUCCUGGGAUCCCAGAAACAGCAUCUGUUGUGGCUAUCACAGUCCAAGGUGAGAGCUAGAAGCAGCAUUGUCAUGGCAGGGGAGGGUAAGGAGAGACUGGGAGCCCAAAUUGUCUUUCUUUAGCCUGGAGGUAGCAAGAUCAUCAACAGACUAUGGAGCAGGUUGCUGGCAAAUGCCCAAGUUGGGCUUCGAAAGGGACGAGACCUCAGCCUUUUGAAGUCAUCCAGCCCCACUCAGAGUCCAGCAUAGUUCCUAUCACCCAGAUCUAUGCUUCUUAGUGCUCACUGAUUGGGUGUCUGGACAACUAUCAGAUUUGCCCAUCUGUGGAUCUUUCCUAGUCCUGUCUACUUACAGAAAGAACUUGACAGAUUCAAAUGGAAUCUAAGAGAGCCCAUUCCUGCUGGAAACAGGGGAAAGGAAGUAUGACUCCCCAAGUCUCUUCACCUGCAUGUGUCUACCUGUAUAUAAGAUGGCUGAGCUCUUCUUUCUUGCCUAUCUUUUUCCCAGAACUGUUUCCAGCGCCAAUUCUCAGAGCUGUACCCUCAGCUGAACCCCAAGCAGGAGGCCCCAUGACCCUGAGUUGUCAGACAAAGUUGCCCCUGCAGAGGUCAGCUGCCCGCCUCCUCUUCUCCUUCUACAAGGAUGGAAGGAUAGUGCAAAGCAGGGGGCUCUCCUCAGAAUUCCAGAUCCCCACAGCUUCAGAAGAUCACUCCGGGUCAUACCGGUGUGAGGCAGCCACUGAGGACAACCAAGUUUGGAAACAGAGCCCCCAGCUAGAGAUCAGAGUGCAGGGUGCCUCCAGCUCUGCUGCACCUCCCACAUUGAAUCCAGCUCCUCAGAAAUCAGCUGCUCCAGGAACUGCUCCUGAGGAGGCCCCUGGGCCUCUGCCUCCGCCGCCAACCCCAUCUUCUGAGGAUCCAGGCUUUUCUUCUCCUCUGGGGAUGCCAGAUCCUCAUCUGUAUCACCAGAUGGGCCUUCUUCUCAAACACAUGCAGGAUGUGAGAGUCCUCCUCGGUCACCUGCUCAUGGAGUUGAGGGAAUUAUCUGGCCACCGGAAGCCUGGGACCACAAAGGCUACUGCUGAAUAGAAGUAAACAGUUCAUCCAUGAUCUCACUUAACCACCCCAAUAAAUCUGAUUCUUUAUUUUCUCUUCCUGUCCUGCACAUAUGCAUAAGUACUUUUACAAGUUGUCCCAGUGUUUUGUUAGAAUAAUGUAGUUAGGUGAGUGUAAAUAAAUUUAUAUAAAGUGAGAAUUGGAGUUUAGCUAUAAUUGUGUAUUCUCUCUUAACACAACAGAAUUCUGCUCUCUAGAUCAGGAAUUUCUAUCUGUUAUAUCGACCAGAAUUUUGUGAUUUAAAGAGAACUAAUGGAAGUGGAUUGAAUACAGCAGUCUCAAUUGGGGGCAAUUUUGCCCCCCAGAGGACAUUGGGCAAUGUUUGGAGACAUUUUGGUCAUUAUACUUGGGGGGUUGGGGGAUGGUGGGAUGUGUGUGCUACUGGCAUCCAGUAAAUAGAAGCCAGGGAUGCUGCUAAACAUCCUAUAAUGCAUAGGGCAGUACCCCACAACGAAAAAUAAUCUGGCCCAAAAUGUCAGUUGUACUGAGUUUGAGAAACCCCAGCCUAAUGAAACCCUAGGUGUUGGGCUCUGGAAUGGGACUUUGUCCCUUCUAAUUAUUAUCUCUUUCCAGCCUCAUUCAGCUAUUCUUAUUGACAUACCAGUCUUUAGCUGGUGCUAUGGUCUGUUCUUUAGUUCUAGUUUGUAUCCCCUCAAAAGCCAUUAUGUUGAAAUCCUAAUCCCCUAGGUGAUGGCAUUAAGAAGUGGGCCUUUGGGAAGUGAUUAGAUCAGGAGUGCAGAGCCCUCAUGAUUAGGAUUAGUGCCCUUAUUUAAAAAGGCCCCAGAGAGCUAACUCACCCUUCCACCAUAUGAGGACAUGGCAAGAAGAUGACAUAUAUGAGAACCAAAAAACAGCUCUCGCCAAACACCGACUCUGUUGUUGCCUUGAUCUUGAACUUCCAGCCUCCAGAACUAUGAGAAAUAAAAUUCUGUUGUUUGUAAGCUA